GUGCCAGCCGCCGCGGUAAAACGUAGGUGGCGAGCGUUAUCCGGAUUUACUGGGCGUAAAGCGUGUGCAGGCGGGGUCUCAAGUGGUGUAUGAAAUCGCUCGGCUAAACCGGGCGCGGUUAUGCCAGACUGAGGCUCUGGAGUGCGGGAGAGGGGCGUGGAAUUCCGGGUGUAGUGGUGAAAUGCGUAGAGAUCCGGAGGAACCCCAGAGGCGAAGGCGGCGCCCUGGCCCGACACUGACGCUCAGACACGACAGCAUGGGGAGCGAACGGGAUUAGAAACCCGUGUAGUCC
rnacentral:rRNA from 1 species